CAAGUCGAACGCGAAAGCCCCGCAAGGGGUAAGUAGAGUGGCAAACGGGUGAGUAACACGUGGGUGACCUGCCUUCGAGUGGGGGAUAACGUCCCGAAAGGGACGCUAAUACCGCAUGACAUCCUGCGUUUGGAAACGCGGAGAUCAAAGCCGGGGAUCGCAAGACCUGGCGCUUGAAGAGGGGCCCGCGCCUGAUUAGCUAGUUGGUGGGGUAAUGGCCUACCAAGGCGACGAUCAGUAUCCGGCCUGAGAGGGCGGACGGACACACUGGGACUGAGACACGGCCCAGACUCCUACGGGAGGCAGCAGUGGGGAAUUGUUCGCAAUGGGCGCAAGCCUGACGACGCAACGCCGCGUGGAGGACGAAGAUCUUCGGGUCGUAAACUCCUGUCGAGCGGGAAGAACGCUUCCCGGGUGAAUAAUCCGGGGAGGUGACGGUACCGCUAAAGGAAGCCCCGGCUAACUCCGUGCCAGCAGCCGCGGUAAUACGGGGGGGGCAAGCGGUGUUCGGAAUUACUGGGCGUAAAGGGCUCGUAGGCGGCCAACUAAGUCGGAUGUGAAAUCCCCAGGCUUAACCUGGGAACUGCAUCCGAUACUGGAUGGCUUGAAUCCGGGAGAGGGAUGCAGAAUUCCAGGUGUAGCGGUGAAAUGCGUAGAUAUCUGGAGGAAUACCGGUGGCGAAGGCGGCAUCCUGGACCGGCAUUGACGCUGAUGAGCGAAAGCUAGGGGAGCAAACGGGAUUAGAUACCCCGGUAGUCCUAGCCCUAAACGAUGAAUGCUUGGUGUGGCGGGUAUCGAUCCCUGCCGUGCCGAAGCUAACGCAUUAAGCAUUCCCCCUGGG
rnacentral:rRNA from 1 species